rnacentral:lncRNA from 1 species
GUGGCCUUUGGCUGAGGCCUUUCCUCAGGGUUCAUAAGACUGCAGACCCCUUUUGUUCUUGUCUCCCUUGAGAGUGAGCUGACCUCUUCUGUUUGCUGAUACACCUUGACCCUGAACCAAGGCACUGACUCAUGGGGGAACACAGAGCACGUUUGCCAGGAAAGCCGCUGUCUCAAGAGUAUCAAGGAGCGGAGGCUUCUCAGACCUCAACUCCUCGACUCCUGGCGCUGGAACCCGCCUCAAACAAGAAGAAGAGACAACAGCGAAGGACGCCCGCUUGCCAUCCUCCUAUCUCACCCUCCCCCCGCCUUGCUGCAAGCAGCCUCUCAAGGCCAAAUGCAGGCUGGUGGGAAAACGCCAGCCU